GAUGAACGCUGGCGGCGUGCCUAAUACAUGCAAGUCGAGCGAACAGACGAGGAGCUUGCUCCUCUAACGUUAGCGGCGGACGGGUGAGUAACACGUGGAUAACCUACCUAUAAGACUGGGAUAACUUCGGGAAACCGGAGCUAAUACCGGAGAAUAUAUUGAACCGCAUGGUUCAAUAGUGAAUGACGGUUUUGCUGUCACUUAUAGAUGGAUCCGCGUCGCAUUAGCUAGUUGGUAAGGUAACGGCCUACCAAGGCAACGAUGCGUAGCCGAUCUGAGAGGGUGAUCGGCCACACUGGAACUGAGACACGGUCCAGACUCCUACGGGAGGCAGCAGUAGGGAAUCUUCCGCAAUGGGCGAAAGCUUGACGGAGCCACGCCGCGUGAGUGAUGAAGGUCUUCGGAUCGUAAAACUCUGUUAUUAGGGAAGAACAAAUGUGUAAGUAACUAUGCACGUCUUGACGGUACCUAAACAGAAAGCCACGGCUAACUACGUG
rnacentral:rRNA from 1 species